GAGGGUAUGGCUCAGUGGUGGAGCACGUGCUUAGCAUGCACAAGGUCCUGGGUUCAAUCCCCAGCACAUCA
rnacentral:tRNA from 1 species